UACGUAGGGGGCUAGCGUUGUCCGGAUUUAUUGGGCGUAAAGAGCGUGUAGGCGGCCAGGUAGGUCUGCUGUGAAAACUCGAGGCUCAACCUCGAGAUGUCGGCGGAAACCAUCUGGCUAGAGUCCGGAAGAGGAGAGUGGAAUUCCUGGUGUAGCGGUGAAAUGCGCAGAUAUCAGGAAGAACGCCCGUGGCGAAGGCGGCUCUCUGGGACGGUACUGACGCUGAGACGCGAAAGCGUGGGGAGCGAACAGG
rnacentral:rRNA from 1 species